GAGGAAUAUUGGGCAAUGCCCGCAAGGGUGACCCAGCAACGCCGCGUGGAGGAUGAAUGUCGUAAGAUUGUAAACUCCUGUUAGAGGGGAAGAAUAGUACCGGUUGGACCGGUAUAUGACUGUACCCUCAGAGAAAGCCCCGGCUAACUACGUGCCAGCAGCCGCGGUAAUACGUAGGGGGCAAGCGUUGUCCGGAUUUACUGGGUGUAAAGGGCGCGCAGGCGGGAUAAAAAGUCAGUGGUGAAAUCCUACAGCUUAACUGUAGAACUGCCUUUGAUACUUUUAUUCUUGAGUUCGGGAGAGAGAGACGGAAUUCCAGGUGUAGUGGUGAAAUACGUAGAUAUCUGGAAGAACACCAGUUGCGAAGGCGGUCUCUUGGUCCGACACUGACGCUGAGGCGCGAAAGCUAGGGUAGCAAACG
rnacentral:rRNA from 1 species